rnacentral:lncRNA from 1 species
AGAUGCCUGCAGGUCCCUCUUUAGAAGCCUGUUUCCCGCACCGAGUCAGUCAUUUUGGGAUUUGGAUUCCCCCUUUUUUGGCAGCUUUUCUAUCCAAUUUCCAUCUGGUUUGGUUUUUAUAAUUUCAUUUUGCAGGGCCAUCAAAGGGAGUUUGCUCAAGCUGAUUUUGGAGCAACAGAUAGUUUUGACUUGACAACCCAUUCCUCUGCAGACCUCAGCCAUGGCCUUAGACCCAGGGUGGGUCACCCCUUCAGACCUUCUCAAAGCUGAUGGGAGUGGAUGAGCCACCCUUGGCAUUGUGCCUCGUGCGUGUGACUCAGACGGAUUCUGCUUGUCUGAAGGAUUCCUGCAAGUCCUCAGAGUUGUCCAACCCGCCUGGGCUCAGCGCUGGAGCCCGUGAG